AGUGGAAUUGCUGGGUCAUAUGGUAACUCUAAAUUUAACUUUUUGAGGAACUGCCAAAGUGUUUUCUGUAGUGGCUGUGCCGUUUUACAAUCCCACCAGCAAU
rnacentral:pre_miRNA from 1 species